rnacentral:ncRNA from 1 species
GAUUUAUAAAGAAGAAGGGAGAGAAUAGGCUCUGAGAACUUCUAGCAACCUGCCACCAAAAAUGUAAGGUGCUAAAUCCUAGUUCCGAUUAUUCGGAACAAAUAUAAAUU